GCCGAAAUAGCUCAGUUGGGAGAGCGUUAGACUGAAGAUCUAAAGGUCCCUGGUUCAAUCCCUGAUUUCGGCA